rnacentral:lncRNA from 1 species
GGACCUACAAAGGAUUUAGAAUGCUGUCUGGGUAGCACAUAGUAAGUGCUCAGCAGUGCUAUUUUAUUUCUCUGUUUAUGGUUCAGUUUUAUACCUCAGUAAUCUUUCUCUCUCUUUUUCUCUCUCCAGAGAAGUAAAAAAAAAAAAAAAAAAAGAUGAAAAUGAGGAUGACAAUUACCAAUCUGAGUGGGACCGGUUCCAAAAAGUCAACCCAGAUAAGAAUCGUUGCAGUGGUUAAAUCCCAAACAUCCUUAGCCCGUGAAGACUUUGUUCUCAGAGAACUGAAUAACUGUGAAUCUUUGUUUUUCCUGGACCAAACUAAAGUGAACUUCAUUCCUGUCUGAUCUUUCCCCAUCUUCAAAAGUGGAAGCACUGGAAGCUCCUUUGUUCAAGCUGUGUGCCUUUGAGAGAGGAAGAAAAAGACUUCAAGGGGCAAGUUUACUUUAAUGCAAAGAGUCAGUUUUCAAGUAAUGUAAUCCUUUUUUGGAUAAACUGAUGUUGAGUAUGAUUAGCAAACCCUUGAUAAUAAAGUCUCUGCAUUUAAUGCUGAUAUCUCA